GCAGUCGAGCGGACAGAUGGGAGCUUGCUCCCUGAUGUUAGCGGCGGACGGGUGAGUAACACGUGGGUAACCUGCCUGUAAGACUGGGAUAACUCCGGGAAACCGGGGCUAAUACCGGAUGGUUGUUUGAACCGCAUGGUUCAAACAUAAAAGGUGGCUUCGGCUACCACUUACAGAUGGACCCGCGGCGCAUUAGCUAGUUGGUGAGGUAACGGCUCACCAAGGCAACGAUGCGUAGCCGACCUGAGAGGGUGAUCGGCCACACUGGGACUGAGACACGGCCCAGACUCCUACGGGAGGCAGCAGUAGGGAAUCUUCCGCAAUGGACGAAAGUCUGACGGAGCAACGCCGCGUGAGUGAUGAAGGUUUUCGGAUCGUAAAGCUCUGUUGUUAGGGAAGAACAAGUACCGUUCGAAUAGGGCGGUACCUUGACGGUACCUAACCAGAAAGCCACGGCUAACUACGUGCCAGCAGCCGCGGUAAUACGUAGGUGGCAAGCGUUGUCCGGAAUUAUUGGGCGUAAAGGGCUCGCAGGCGGUUUCUUAAGUCUGAUGUGAAAGCCCCCGGCUCAACCGGGGAGGGUCAUUGGAAACUGGGGAACUUGAGUGCAGAAGAGGAGAGUGGAAUUCCACGUGUAGCGGUGAAAUGCGUAGAGAUGUGGAGGAACACCAGUGGCGAAGGCGACUCUCUGGUCUGUAACUGACGCUGAGGAGCGAAAGCGU
rnacentral:rRNA from 1 species